UAAGGUGAAGUGUGGCGCUUUAUUGCAAUGUGGACACCACUGUAGCGGAGAAUGCGGGAAUUGUAAAACCAAAAAAGCUCAUCAGUUAUGUCAACAACCUUGCAAAGUGGCCAGGCCUUGUGGACAUCAGUGUACAAAAAAAUGUCACGAGGAAUGUGGAUUGUGCAAUCAGAAAUGCUUGAAGAGGUGUUCACACAAGAAAUGUGAUCAAGUUUGUGGAGAACCAUGCAAUAUUUGUCAGGAACUAUGUGACCGCGGCUGCAUACAUCAAAAGUGCAGCCGUCCGUGUUUUGCUGUGUGUGAACGCAAGCCUUGCUCCCAGCCCUGCCCCUCGCCCCUGGCCUGUGGACAUCCGUGUCAAGGGUUUUGUGGAGAUCCGUGUCCGGAAAUAUGCCUGCAAUGUGAACCUCAGCUUGCUUCCAUCAUGAA